UUCUGAUAUGGCACGGUAGGUAGUGCUACCUGGGGACUUCUUCUUCUUGCUUGAAUGCUUACUCGAUGAGUCCGGAGGCAGCGGUGGCGCACUUGGAAAGUACUGGCCAGCCUGCUGCAAUGUCAGUGAUGUUUGAGAACUCGAGUGGAGGGAACACCACAAUCUUUUGUUUGUGAAGUAACUAUUGGUGCUAAUGUCCAAGAGAGUGGAGGAGUAUUGUAAUCAGAAGAAAUGACAGCGGAUAAUAAAGAAAAGAAGACAAGACAAAAGGCAAAUUUGUAUGGAUGGUGCCUGAUGGGACUGUAAUUAUGUAAAGAGUGCUGUGGAACAGGGGAUUUAGUAAGUCCUGUAACUGGUUAUUUCUCAAGACUUAGAAUCGGGUUGGGAGUUCGAUUGUAAGCUGAAAUGCCCACAAUUUACCUGCAUCUAAACUUAACACAAGCGGCCAUGCUCGGAAGGCACCACAUAUUACGCGGCCGCUGGUUUAAGAAUUUUGGGCAAGUUGUUGCUUGUGUUGGUUUGAGUUUGUGUUUAUUAAUUGGGAAAUAAAAUUCAUGCUAUAUUAAUGAGAGAAGAGAAUGGAAAGCUCA